GAUGAACGCUGGCGGCGUGCCUAAUACAUGCAAGUCGAGCGAACGGACGAGAAGCUUGCUUCUCUGAUGUUAGCGGCGGACGGGUGAGUAACACGUGGAUAACCUACCUAUAAGACUGGGAUAACUUCGGGAAACCGGAGCUAAUACCGGAUAAUAUUUUGAACCUCAUGGUUCAAAAGUGAAAGACGGUCUUGCUGUCACUUAUAGAUGGAUCCGCGCUGCAUUAGCUAGUUGGUAAGGUAACGGCUUACCAAGGCAACGAUGCAUAGCCGACCUGAGAGGGUGAUCGGCCACACUGGAACUGAGACACGGUCCAGACUCCUACGGGAGGCAGCAGUAGGGAAUCUUCCGCAAUGGGCGAGAGCCUGACGGAGCAACGCCGCGUGAGUGAUGAAGGUCUUCGGAUCGUAAAACUCUGUUAUUAGGGAAGAACAUAUGUGUAAGUAACUGUGCACAUCUUGACGGUACCUAAUCAGAAAGCCACGGCUAACUACGUG
rnacentral:rRNA from 1 species